rnacentral:lncRNA from 1 species
UCAUCCUGUCCUCACAGUGGCUGGUGUGGAGACCGACAGACUUCAUCCUUAGGAUGGACCUUCAGGCACCCAGGCCACCUACUGACCUCUCUGGCAUGGGUGGGAACCGGGAGCUCGUUGGUAAGCAGGAGGCUUCAGGACUACUGAGCGAACACCGCUUCCUCUGUGGCACGCACCGUGCUUUGUCUUUUGGGUCAUCAUCUCAUCACCUCUGCACAGGAAGAUUAUCUCCCCCACUUUGUGAUGAGGAAACGGAGGCUCCAGGAGGAAAGAUGCAACCUGGGCCAGAGGCCCCUGGAGGCUGUGCCUGACCCCAGACAGAUCAGACAAACCCGAGCAGCCAUUAGCAGCUGCAUGGACUCCUUUGCAUUGUGGGGCUGCUCCUGGGGAUAUUUGUGUUGUGAAUGGGUAGAAUCUGAAUGGCAGAAUAUGAAUUUCCAGAUGUUCUUCUUAGAAGAUGCAGUCUGCCACAGAGACCGUGUAGAUGGAUUGAAUGGGGAUAUGACGGGGACGACCACCCCUUCAUUUGCUAAGUUCUUGAGCGUGGCAUCGAUCUCAGCCAUUCCACUGGAAUAGGAUAAUGGACCUUAACUAGUGGGCUGGAGGCAAUGAGGGGAUGUGAGGAUGCAUCUUGUGAAGGACAAAAGUCAUCUU